GGGUUGUAAAGAGGAGGGUUAAGUGAGUGAUGGGCUUUAAGGAGAGCACUUGUUGGGGUGAGCACUAGGGGUCAUAUGUAGGAGAUGUAUCACUGGGUUCUAUUCCUGAAGUCAAGACUACACUGUAUGUUAACUAAACUUGAAUUAAAAACAAAACAAGAAUCUAGACCCUCUGGGAGCUGAUUCUUCCCCACCAAGAAAUUAGUUUGCAUAAUAAAAGUUCAGAGCUUGAGUUUAAGGGCUUGGCCUGGUGAUACCUGGGGAGGAG